rnacentral:rRNA from 1 species
AAAAGAAGAUCAAGGAGAGCUUCAGAAUGAAGCUUUCUUGAUGGAGGGGAGCGGCAGACGGGUGAGUAACACGUAGGAACAUACCCUUUACUACGGAACAACUCCGGGAAACUGGAGCUAAUACCGUAUGUGCCCUUCGGGGGAAAGAUUUAUCGGUAAAGGAUUGGCCCGCGUUGGAUUAGCUAGUUGGUGGGGUAAAGGCAUACCAAGGCGACGAUCCAUAGCUGGUCUGAGAGGAUGAUCAGCCACAUUGGGACUGAGACACGGCCCAAACUCCUACGGGAGGCAGCAGUGGGGAAUAUUGGACAAUGGGCGCAAGCCUGAUCCAGCCAUGCCGCGUGAGUGAUGAAGGCCUUAGGGUUGUAAAGCUCUUUCACCGAUGAAGAUAAUGACGGUAGUCGGAGAAGAAGCCCCGGCUAACUUCGUGCCAGCCGCCGCAGUAAAAC